CUUUAAACACGUAUAUGUAUGGAUAAUAUAUAUAUGUAUGUAUACAUUAUAUGAUAUAUAUAUAUAUAUAUAUAUAUAUAUAUAUAUAUCUAGUUACUUCUGCUUUGAUCAGCUCUUCUUGUUUGUGUCCGGUAUCAUCUAACAGCGGAAAACAUGCCGUGAACAACAACAACAACAACAGCAACAACAUCAAGAUGGCUAACCUAUAAAUACAAACACACAUGCAUAAAUAGCUGUAUACAUCCAUAAAUACACAUAUAUAUAUACUUGUUCACGCACACAGAUAUAUAUAUAUAUAUAUAUACACACACAUACACAGCACGCAUACAUGCAUAUUCACUAAUAUAGAGACAACCAUUCUCGCAUACAUAUAUAGCCACUUAUAUACAUAGAUAUAUAUAUAUAUAUAUAUAUAUAUAUAUACACGUCAAUACACGCACAUACACACAUAUAUAUAUGCAUAUAUAUACAAACGGAUGCAUCAUGCACACAUUCAUAUAUAUGUAAAUAAUCACACAUAUUUAUACUCACGCACUCACAGACACAACCACGCCCAGCCAGAGAGCACACACAAACACAUACUCAUUUGUAUGCACGCCUUCGUAUACACAAACAAACGAAAGGAGAAUGUAUAAUUAAAAAGAAUAAACAAAUAUAAAAAAAACAACAACAACUGGAAACCCUGCAAAGAAAAAAAGAAAAAGACAGGUUUAAUACGAAGCAAAAAAGAAAAAAAAAACACACACGGAAACCUAAACAAAAAAACAUGAGAGAAGGAAAAUGACAAAUGUAAUGCAAUUAAUAUUGGCGAUGACAGCGUUCUUGAUGAGGAAUAUGAUGACGAUGAUGAUGAUGAUCAUGAUGAAUACAAUGAUGGUGAUGAUGCCGAUGAUGAUGACAACGACGAUGAUGAUGAUGGCAUACACUACGGGAGAUGCGAUGCAUAGUGACCCGCCAAAAUGAUGGAAUAUAACGUUAACGAGUAUCGCAACAGGCACGACACCGAUAAUAAUAAUAAUAAUAAUAAUAAUAAUAAUAAUAAUAAUAAUAAUAAUAAUAAUGAUGAUGAUGAUGAUGAUUAUCUAUUUUGUCAUCAUAUAUCAAUGAUUAUUGAAAAGUAAAUAAAAAAAUAAAUUUUAAAGAAAAGAAAAAAAGGAAGAAAUCAACCUUUGUCACAGCCAUCACAAACAUGAUGAUAAAAAUAAUUAAUUAAUAAAUAUUAAUAAUAAAAAAAAUAUUAUAAUAAUUAUUAAUAAUAAUAAUAAUAAUUAUAAAAAUUAAAAAUAAGAAUAAUAAUCGUGUUCCUUCUUCCUGGAUGAAGAUUUCUGAUAUGUUCACAUUCGGAAAGGAUUAAUCCGUUUUUUUCUGUGAGCUUUUAAUUAAAAAGGAACUUAUUCUGGCCUAUGUUGACAUCUAUUGCUAGGAGCUGGUUUGGUUUUAUACGUACCCACAUGUAUAUAUAUGUAUAUACUUACUAAUACACAUAUAUAUAUAGAUAGAUACUACAAUACAGGUACGUCUUACUAUCAAUUCUACACUUGUGAUAUUCCCAAACUAGUUGAUAGAUUCACCGCUGUGAGUCCUCAUUCUUCUUUGAAUACGCUGUGGAUAUUUUUACUUCAUUUUCACAGUGGCGCUUCAGACUAAUGCAAGGUUUGUCGGUUGAUACUAUUCAGAAGCUGAUACGAAAAAUAACCAUAUAAGAAUUCUUCUUAAAUCCUACAACAUAUUUCAAUUUACACAGCCCUUGGCUUCAAUAUUUACUGCAGUUCACCAGUAUUGAACUCUGAUCAUUGCCUCACCACAAAGUUAUAUAUGUCGUUGUCAACAUCUAUUUGUCCUACCGGCACACAAUACCAGUUAUAAAAACCAUGACGUCUUGGAGCAGCUGACUAACAUAUAAUCAUUAUCAAUCAUGGAUAGAAAGAUACUUGCGGGUGCAUUGAUUACAUACUUAUUACUAACACUUUCAACAACAGAUGCAGAUCAGAUACCGAUUGAUAAAUUCGGUAUUAUAGCCUUUUCUACCAACGAACCCCCAACGUUACUCCAAUCAUCGAAAAUUAUUGUCAAGCCUGAAGAUACCAAAGUUGGAGAUAAAAUCGGCGUGAUUACAGCGAGAGAUAAAGACGGUCCCAGAGAAUUAGAGUUUUUUGUUCAGAGUGGCGGUAAAUUAGUUAACCUCAGCAAACCAACGGGAUCCAGUAAGACAGGGAGGGCCGUAAAUAUAUUAUUGGCCACACCGUUGGAUCGAGACUGGGUAAUUCUUUCUCUCUUUUCCUUUUUUGUAUUUUUUCUUCUUUUGUUUUUUCAGCAUCUGUGUUUCUAUGCUAUUUUCUUUUGUCUUUUUUGUUUUUUUUUUCUCUUACUAUGAAGACGCGUGGCGUUGUGGUUAGGCUAUUCUGCUCACAAUAGUAAAGUUGAGAGUUCGAUACACAGUGGUUCCACUGAGCAAGACAUUAUAUUUCACCUUGCUCCAGUUUACUCAGGUGGCAAAUAUGCGCAGUGCCUGUAAUUCAAACGGCCAGCAUUGUCACAUUCUUUG